UACGUAGGGUGCGAGCGUUUAAUCGGAAUUACUGGGCGUAAAGCGUGCGCAGGCGGUUUUGUAAGCCAGAUGUGAAAUCCCCCGGGCUUAACCUGGGAACUGCGUUUGAAACUACAAGGCUAGAGUGUGGCAGAGGGGGGUGGAAUUCCGACGUGUAGCAGUGAAAUGCGUAGAGAUGUGGAGGAACACCGAUGGCGAAGGCAGCCCCCUGGGUUAACACUGACGCUCAGGCACGAAAGCGUGGGGAGCAAACAGG
rnacentral:rRNA from 1 species